GGUCGUAUGGUGUAGUUGGUUAUCACGUCAGUCUAACACACUGAAGGUCCACAGAUCGAGCACAGUGUGUACGAUCA